UCCUCCCUCUGGCGGCGUGCUUAACACAUGCAAGUCGAACGGAAAGGCACUACUUUUGUGGGGUGCUCGAGUGGCGAACGGGUGAGUAACACGUGAGUAACCUGCCCUUGACUUUGGGGUAACUUAAGGAAACUGGGGCUAAUAUCGGAUGGGAGCUCCUGUUGGAUGGUGGGGGUUGGAAAGUGUCGGCGGUUGGGGAUGGACUCGCGGCUUAUCAGCUUGUUGGUGGGGUAGUGGCUUACCCACGCUUUGACGGGUAGCCGGCCUGAGAGGGUGACCGGCCACAGUGGGACUGGGAUACGGCCCAGACUCCUACGGGGAGCAGCAGUGGGAAAUAGUGCACGACGUGCGGAGGCGUGAUGCAGCAACGCCGCGUUCGAGAGGACUGCCGUCGGGUUGUAAACCGCUUUCGCCUGUAACGAAGCGUGAGUGACGUUAAUAGAUAAUGAAGCACCGGCUAACUACGU
rnacentral:rRNA from 1 species